rnacentral:rRNA from 1 species
CAGCAGUCGCCGCGGGAACACAGAGGGUGCGAGCGUUAAUCGGAAUUACUGGGCGUAAAGGGCGCGUAGGCGGUUAGGAAGGUGUGAUGUGAAAGCCCUGGGCUUAACCUAGGAAGUGCAUCGCAAACCAACUAGCUGGAGUAUAAGAGAGGGUGGCGGAAUUUCCGGUGUAGCGGUGAAAUGCGUAGAGAUCGGAAGGAACGUCAAUGGCGAAGGCAGCCACCUGGCUUAAUACUGACGCUGAGGCGCGAAAGCGUGGGGAGCGAACAGGAUUAGAUACCCCUGUAGUCCCUGUCUCUUAUAC